AGCGAACGCUGGCGGCAGGCCUAACACAUGCAAGUCGAGCGCCGUAGCAAUACGGAGCGGCAGACGGGAGAGUAACACGUGGGAACGUACCCUUUGGUUCGGAACAACCCAGGGAAACUUGGGCUAAUACCGGAUAAGCCCUCACGGGGAAAGAUUCAUCGCCGAAGGAUCGGCCCGCGUCUGAUUAGCUAGUUAGUGGGGUAAUGGCCCACCAAGGCGACGAUCAGUAGCUGGUCUGAGAGGAUGAUCAGCCUCACUGGGACUGAGACACGGCCCAGACUCCUACGGGAGGCAGCAGUGGGGAAUAUUGGACAAUGGGCGCAAGCCUGAUCCAGCCAUGCCGCGUGGGUGAUGAAGGCCCUAGGGUUGUAAAGCCCUUUCGGCGGGGAAGAUAAUGACGGUACCCGCAGAAGAAGCCCCGGCUAACUUCGUGCCAGCAGCCGCCGUAAUAC
rnacentral:rRNA from 1 species